GGAGGGUGCAAGCGUUGUUCGGAAUUACUGGGCGUAAAGAGCGUGUAGGCGGUUUGGCAAGUCAGAUGUGAAAGCCCUGGGGCUCAACCCAGGAAGUGCAUUUGAAACUGCCAUUCUAGAGUAUGGGAGAGGAGAGUGGAAUUCCCAGUGUAGAGGUGAAAUUCGUAGAUAUUGGGAGGAACACCCGUGGCGAAGGCGACUCUCUGGACCAAUACUGACGCUGAGACGCGAAAGCGUGGGGAGCAAACAGGAUUAGAUACCCUGGUAGUCCACGCCGUAAACGAUGAGAACUAGGUGUAGCGGGUAUUGACCCCUGCUGUGCCGUAGCUAACGCAUUAAGUUCUCCGCCUGGGGAGUACGGUCGCAAGGCUA
rnacentral:rRNA from 1 species